rnacentral:rRNA from 1 species
GACGAACGCUGGCGGCGUGCCUAACACAUGCAAGUCGAGCGAAGUGAGUACUACGGUACGAACUUAGCGGCGGACGGGUGAGUAACGCGUGGACAAUCUACCCUGUAGACUGGGAUAACACCUCGAAAGGGGUGCUAAUACCGGAUAAUGUCGAGAAGCGGCAUCGCUUUUCGAAGAAAGGAGAGAAUCCGCUAUAGGAGGAGUCCGCGUCCCAUUAGUUAGUUGAUGAGGGUAACGGCCCACCAAGGCGACGAUGGGUAGCCGGCCUGAGAGGGUGAACGGCCACACUGGAACUGAGACACGGUCCAGACUCCUACGGGAGGCAGCAGUGGGGAAUAUUGUGCAAUGGGGGAAACCCUGACACAGCAACGCCGCGUGAGCGAAGAAGGCCUUCGGGUUGUAAAGCUCAAUAGUAUGGGAAGAUAAUGACGGUACCAUACGAAAGCCCCGGCUAACUACGUGCCAGCCGCCGCCGUAAGAC